GCCCUUUCCGUAGGUGAACCUGCGGAGGGAUCAUUACUGAGUUUACGCUCUACAACCCUUUGUGAACAUACCUAUAACUGUUGCUUCGGCGGGUAGGGUCUCCGCGACCCUCCCGGCCUCCCGCCUCCGGGCGGGUCGGCGCCCGCCGGAGGAUAACCAAACUCUGAUUUAACGACGUUUCUUCUGAGUGGUACAAGCAAAUAAUCAAAACUUUUAACAACGGAUCUCUUGGUUCUGGCAUCGAUGAAGAACGCAGCGAAAUGCGAUAAGUAAUGUGAAUUGCAGAAUUCAGUGAAUCAUCGAAUCUUUGAACGCACAUUGCGCCCGCCAGCAUUCUGGCGGGCAUGCCUGUUCGAGCGUCAUUUCAACCCUCAAGCUCUGCUUGGUGUUGGGGCCCUACAGCUGAUGUAGGCCCUCAAAGGUAGUGGCGGACCCUCUCGGAGCCUCCUUUGCGUAGUAACUUUACGUCUCGCACUGGGAUCCGGAGGGACUCUUGCCGUAAAACCCCCAAUUUUCCAAAGGUUGACCUCGAAUCAGGUAGGAAUACCCGCUGAACUUAAGCAUAUCAAUAAGCGGAGG
rnacentral:rRNA from 1 species